UACUGUGUGCCAGGCACUGUGUGGGCUACUAGGCAGAUAAGGAAGCAGGAUUUGAAAACUCACUGGAGUGCAGCUUGGAAACAGCAAUGAAUUGAGGGCAGCUGUAUGGAUGUGAGAGUUGGACUGUGAAGAAGGCUGAGCGCUGAAGAAUUGAUGCUUUUGAACUGUGGUGUUGGAGAAGACUCUUGAGAGUCCCUUGGACUGCAAGGAGAUCCAACCAGUCCAUUCUGAAGGAGAUCAGCCCUGGGAUUUCUUUGGAAGGAAUGAUGCUAAAGCUGAAACUCCAGUACUUUGGCCACCUCAUGCGAAGAGUUGACUCACUGGCAAAGACUCUGAUGCUGGGAGGGAUUGGGGGCAGGAGGAGAAGGGGACAACAGAGGAUGAGAUGGCUGGAUGGCAUCACUGACUCGAUGGACGUGAGUCUGAGUGAACUCCGGGAGCUGGUGAUGGACAGAGAGGCCUGGUGUACCGUGAUUCAUGGGGUCGCAAAGAGUCGGACACGACUGAGCGACUGAUCUGAUCUGAUCUGAUCUGAUGCCUCUUCAAAGAUUUGCUACUUUUUGAGACUUUCAAGCAUGAAAAUGGUUUAUCCUCCCCUCUCAUAAUUGAUGGGGAGGCCAAAUAGGACAGAGUGACAUAACCAGCAAACAGAGCACCUUAAGACAACACACCCGUUAAAGUAACGUAACGAUCAAGGAAACAAGACUGCAAGCAGCUUGGGAAAUGGAGAGCAAAAGAAUUAGCUUCAUCAAGCCAUCAUUCUAGAGCAGGCUUGUUGUUUGGUGUGGCUGCGUUUUUGUGUAGGAAUUGUACAUAGCUGCAAGUGUCAUCCACAUGCCCACACUCUAACCUCCUUUCUCCACCUAACAUGAUGUCAUGAGCAUUUUUCUGUGUUGCUACAUAGUCUGUAUAAUUACUCUAAAUGACUGUACAAUAUUCCACUCAUUAUACUACUGCUGAAUAUUUAGGUUCCUUUUUUUUUUCCUUUGCUCAAUUUUCAUGAAUUAACAAAUGUAAGGUGUUUCCACCCAAGCUUGCAAAACGUAGACACAGAGUAGAUGCUUUUUGUCUUUUCCAUCUCUCUCCUUCCUGUGUAUCUUUGUCCCUGGGCUUUUCCUUGAGAUAAGUGUUCCUUAGGGUUCAGGGGUAUGACUCUCCACACAUACUGCUACCAUAUUGUUCCAUUAAUUACAAUGACAAUUUGAGAAAGCAGAGGUCUGCAAGUUUAACUAAUCUGCCCAGGGUCCCUGUCUGUUCUGUUUUCUUCUUUUCCCCCCAAGGUCUGCUCCAGUGUCUGGUGCAUAGAACGACUUCAAUAAACAUUUGCUGAAUGAA
ensembl:lncRNA